CACAAACACGUCAACUUGGAGAGACAGCCAUUUAUUUAUUUUUAAAACCAGAAAACAAACAACAUCGAAACGCAAUGCAGCGUAAUUUUGCGGUGCUGUUUGCCUACAAUACACAGAAUGAACUGUGUAUAUGCUGGUUGUGUUUCAGAAUAUUACCAGAAAGUUUCGAUUUACAGAACAUUACCAGAAAGUUUUAAUCAUAGUAAACAACAUGCAUUUACUAGGGCAGUAUGGCAAAUUAAAGUUGUAUGCAUUUUAAUGUAUUUUUAUAUGACUCGUCAGUGUACCUCAACUAUCUGUAGAAAAAAAACUGCACAUGUGUCAAUCGUUUUUAAUUUCAUCGUUGUGUUAAUAAAUAUCUCUGUCUAAUUAUACAUAGGUGAUAUGUGCUUAAAUAUACCGCCUAAUCAUGCCAAGAUGCUUGAUAUUCAGGAUUGCUUUGCGCCCUCCCUGUUGAAAAAUGUCCCUCCUAUGUGCACUAAAGGCAUCAUUCUGCAAGAACUGAAGCAUAUGUUCAAAAUUAUUACUAAAGAUGACAAAUUAAAAGUCAUUCCAAAGUGCAACAGCGUGUUUGGUGUGGAAAUUGAUGGAUUUGUUUCCCAUAGCUACAGCAGGAAGUCCCAGCUAAGACCAAGCGAGCAUUCCGCUAAGAAAUUUAAAGUGAAAGGAACCACAGACCUUUAAUCAGGUGCCAGUGAAGCUGAAGCAGACUCAGGAUAUGUCACCAGCUCCCCCGCAGAAACUAAUGGAAAGAGAUGUGCAUCUGCCAGAUGGAGUAUAAAAGGAACUUAGCUACCUGGAAAAAGAUAUUGAUUGGCAUGUCUCUGGAGAAACAAGCCAUUCAUUUCACUUUGUACUUUUAAUUUCCACCAUUAAAUGCUAAUCAGAUUACAUUCAGUAAUUAGUACUCUCUUUUAUAAGUGGCAACCAAGCAUUGCAGUGUACUCACCAUUUAGGUUAACCCUGUAACCAUAAGGCAUGAGGAAGACUGGAAUUAAAUGGUGUGUGUUGUAAAAUAUUCUGUCUCUAUCCUAGGUGGACAACAACAAAAGCACAAGUACAGUCAAACCUGCUCAUGCGACCACCAUUAUAUAGCAACCACCUGGUCUAAGUGACAACUUUAAAUUCCUCCCAAUGAUAUUUGUAUAUUUUUAUUUUUGUUCACGUGACUGUGUUUUGAGCCGAUUCAAUAUCUUAAUGAAACUGUUAAUUACUGAACAAAGUCGCUUCUUUUUACCUUGAUGUCCUGAUUGACUUGCUGAUUUUGUUUCACCUUCUUCAUUAUUCGAACACAAGAGCAAGCAAUGACAUUAAUCACUCCCCCCAGAUGCUACUUUAACUUGCAUUUCGUUCUCACACUUGCCUGGGAACUGGGUAGCUUCCAAUGUGUCAGUUUCGUGUUGUGUUGUUCUUUCCCGCUAAUUUAACAAAAUGUUCUCAUAAUUAGGACGUAGCGGCUCAAGACUUAAAGGCAAACCGUUAAAAGGAAAAUGAACACCGAAAAAUUCAAGCCAUACUUAGAAGAGUAUGAAAACAAUGUGCGCGGUAAUCGAAAAAUAUCUUAUGCUUAUGCUGGCGUUGGUUUCAGGAUGCAAUGAAGCAACACGUACCUGAAAGGCAGACACAGGCAUUGAAAUGUGAAAAGGAUUUAAAACAUUUUGUGUCACCUGAGACAGGCAAGCAUUCAUUACUUUCACAAAAUAAUUUGUUUUGUAAAUGCAUUAUCUAAAUGAAUGUUAUUAAAUGACAUACUUCCUUUUGUUCAUAUUACAUCUUCUAGCUUUUACAGUGUAUGUAAGACAUACAUAAUUACAGAAGGCAUGUCAGAGACAAAUGGAAAAUUCACAAGUUAUGGACUCUCUUUACAGGUUUGACUGCAUAAUGAUCAGAUGAAGUUCUUUCAUCAGUCACUAAUCCAGUGCAAACCUUUUUUUUUUUGAUUGACAUGCAAGUGAAAGAAAAAGAAGAAGGAUUGGCGCAUAAUAUAAGUACUGUACUGCUCUGGUUCUUUAUCAAAGUUGCUAAUUCCAAUUCACAAAGUGAUCUACUUAAAAAAAAAAAAAAAAAAAAAAAAUACACACAAAAAAAAUACCAAUGAAGCCACCUUUCUUGCUGUCAAAGUGCAAUCUUGUGUAAGUCCACUAGGUGGCCCUUGACUACACUUUUCUCUCAAAAGAUGUUCUGCACUGAUGUAAGUGAACAAUGCCUUCGGUAAGUAAAACUAUAUUAAACUACGGAGAAAAAUGCUUUAGCGUUAACAUACAAUGUAUAAUGAUUUACACUGCAACAAGAUUAGAUAUAACCUUUCUAAAAAAAAAGAAAUCAAUGCAAGAUCCACAUAAAGCACAACAUUUUGAGUUAAAUCUUUAGAACAGUACUUAACAGCUUGCUGUUUAUCUACACUGAAUACACCGAGAUGUGAUGUUUUAUUAGCAAGGUUGCACAGCCCUGAUGGAUAUUGCCUGGAGAGUUGACAGUAUUUGUCAGUCAUGCUAAUUGGUUUACAAAUGCAGUCAGAACACCAAAGUUAACAUCCAAAGUUUUGGUGUUAUUUUGCCACUUCAUUUAUCUGAAGUUAUGCCUUUGGAGAAAAAUUAAAACAAGAUAUGAUUUUAAUAUUAUGCAGAUUGAUAUGAAAACUCAUACAUAAGCUAUAUGUUUUUUAGAUUUUUUUUUUAAUAUAUAUAAGCCUGGUUAUCACAAAUAAACACACACACACACACACACACACACACACACAUAUAUUCCUUUACAUUGUCUACUCUAGUUUUUAUUGAGGCAUGUUUGGAAAGGUGGUUUGGAAACAUUUUGCUGCUCUCUUUUCUCAUAUAUGGCCAAUUUGUUAGACAACCUGCAUAAAUCUCCCUCUGUAUGUUUGGACAAAACUAUGGGUCAUGUUAGUUAACUUAAGAUGCACCAAUAAAUGAUUUAUAACAACAACAACAAAAAAGUCUUCAGAGGUGUGCCAUCUAGCCAAUUCUAGUCUUAGACAAUAGUCUCAAUCCGUGCACAAGAAUUCUUACCAUUCAUCUGAUGGUCAGUGAUUUUAGUU